UACAGAGGUCUCAAGCGUUGUUCGGAUUCAUUGGGCGUAAAGGGUGCGUAGGUGGCGCGCUAAGUCAGGUGUGAAAUUUCGGAGCUUAACUCCGAAACUGCAUUUGAUACUGGCGUGCUUGAGGACUGGAGAGGAGACUGGAAUUCACGGUGUAGCAGUGAAAUGCGUAGAUAUCGUGAGGAACACCAGAGGCGAAGGCGGUUUCCUGGACAGUUACUGACGCUCAGGCACGAAAGCAUGGGGAGCAAAAGGG
rnacentral:rRNA from 1 species